UAAAGCAUUUUGGAGAUGUUAUUCCUCAAAACAUGUCUUACAGGCAUUAAAUCUAUUGGUAUUUUCAUGACUUGGAGGAGAGUGUUGACAUGGAAUGGUUAAGUGCCUUGUCCAAGGCCCCACAGGAGGAACGUCGUUCAAUCAGCUGGUUUUGAUGGCCUUCCAAAUGGCCUUGCCUUGUCUAGGGAAGACCUGACAAGUAGAAAGAAAAAAAAACAAAUGGAUCACUGUCAUAUAUGCGGUUCGUGGGCGACCAUUCAGCACCUGUCCGUCUGUGCAUGCUGAUACACAAAAUGUAAAGUAUCCUUCUUCUUCUUUUGCUGUCUAAUGCAGUUAUGUUUAUGCCCAAAACGCCGGAGAAGAGUUAAUUCACUGACUGCAGAGGAAAUUUGAUGGGCUAAGACUAGAAUG